rnacentral:rRNA from 1 species
CGGACGGGUGAGUAACGCGUGGAUAACCUGCCUCACACAGGGGGAUAACAGUUAGAAAUGACUGCUAAUACCGCAUAAGCGCACAGUACCGCAUGGUACAGUGUGAAAAACUCCGGUGGUGUGAGAUGGAUCCGCGUCUGAUUAGGUAGUUGGUGGGGUAACGGCCCACCAAGCCGACGAUCAGUAGCCGACCUGAGAGGGUGACCGGCCACAUUGGGACUGGGACACGGCCCAA